GACGAACGCUGGCGGCGUGCUUAACACAUGCAAGUCGAACGGAAAGGCCCUGCUUUUGUGGGGUGCUCGAGUGGCGAACGGGUGAGUAACACGUGAGUAACCUGCCCUUGACUUUGGGAUAACUUCAGGAAACUGGGGCUAAUACCGGAUAGGAGCUCCUGCUGCAUGGUGGGGGUUGGAAAGUUUCGGCGGUUGGGGAUGGACUCGCGGCUUAUCAGCUUGUUGGUGGGGUAGUGGCUUACCAAGGCUUUGACGGGUAGCCGGCCUGAGAGGGUGACCGGCCACAUUGGGACUGAGAUACGGCCCAGACUCCUACGGGAGGCAGAAGUGGGGAAUAUUGCGCAAUGGGCGGAAGCCUGAUGCAGCAACGCCGCGUGCGGGAUGACGGCCUUCGGGUUGUAAACCGCUUUCGCCUGUGACGAAGCGUGAGUGACGGUAAUGGGUAAAGAAGCACCGGCUAACUACGUG
rnacentral:rRNA from 1 species